AUGCCUUUCAAAGUUUCUACAGCCCCCAUAAGACCCAGCUGAAGAACCCAGUGAUGGAGAGGCUGGCAGACCAGCUUGCCACCCUGUGUGCCACCCUGAAGGAGUACCCUGCUGUCAGAUACCGAGGGGAGUACAAAGACAAUGCCACCCUGGCCCAGCUGUUGCAGGACAAACUAGACGCCUACAAGGCAGAUGACCCCACCAUGGGGGAGGGUCCCGAUAAGGCUCGUUCUCAGCUGAUCAUCCUGGACAGGGCUUUUGACCCCGUCUCCCC